AGAGUUUGAUCCUGGCUCAGAGUGAACGCUGGCGGUAGGCCUAACACAUGCAAGUCGAACGGCAGCACAGAGGAGCUUGCUCCUUGGGUGGCGAGUGGCGGACGGGUGAGGAAUACAUCGGAAUCUACUCUGUCGUGGGGGAUAACGUAGGGAAACUUACGCUAAUACCGCAUACGACCUACGGGUGAAAGCAGGGGAUCUUCGGACCUUGCGCGAUUGAAUGAGCCGAUGUCGGAUUAGCUAGUUGGCGGGGUAAAGGCCCACCAAGGCGACGAUCCGUAGCUGGUCUGAGAGGAUGAUCAGCCACACUGGAACUGAGACACGGUCCAGACUCCUACGGGAGGCAGCAGUGGGGAAUAUUGGACAAUGGGCGCAAGCCUGAUCCAGCCAUACCGCGUGGGUGAAGAAGGCCUUCGGGUUGUAAAGCCCUUUUGUUGGGAAAGAAAUCCAGCUGGCUAAUACCCGGUUGGGAUGACGGUACCCAAAGAAUAAGCACCGGCUAACUUCGUGCCAGCAGCCGCGGUAAUUC
rnacentral:rRNA from 1 species